AAUUGCUAGUAAUCGCGGAUCAGCAUGCCGCGGUGAAUACGUUCCCGGGCCUUGUACACACCGCCCGUCACACCAUGAGAGUCGGGAACACCCGAAGUCCGUAGUCUAACCGCAAGGAGGACGCGGCCGAAGGUGGGCUUGAUAAUUGGGGUGAAGUCGUAACAAGGUACC
rnacentral:rRNA from 1 species